rnacentral:lncRNA from 1 species
GGGGGGGGAUUCAGUCGAAAAUAUAUGCAAAGAAAUAGAGAGAAAAUAGAGAGAUCAAACUUGUUUUUGCAUAGGUGAUUUCUUCUUUGUUUCACUUCGCAGUGUCCGUUUUUUUAUUUAUUUAUGUUUUUAUUUUCUUUUAUUUUUUCAUUUUAUUUCGUAUAAAAUAACAAAGAAAAAGAAAAGGAAAACAGAGCUUUCGUUGGAGUCACCCAGUUGUUGCCGCCUUUGUAAUAUUCGAAGUUUGGGAUUUUCGAGGGAAAUUGAGCCCUAACGUAUUUGGUUCUGAUUUUCUUUGUUAAUCUUAAAUAACCGAGGAUAUUCUUUAUUCAAAGUGCAUGAGUACAAAAAUCAUUUUUGGGAACUUAACUUGUUGUGUCCUAACGUAUUGGGUGUGACAUGUUACUUUCUCAAAAUGAAGAUUUUCACAUAAAAUAAAGUGAUAUUCAAAGUUUGGGGAUUAUGAGGAAUUGUACCCUAAUGUAUUGGGACUCGAUUUCUUUACAUGACUUGAACAAUUAAUUAUCCUUUUUCAAAUUCCAUCGUUUGAGUUGAUUUUAAAAUUUUUUAACCUUCGACACUAAGACAUCAAAUAAUCAAUUUGGUACCGAUUUUGGAUGUUACGAGGGUGCUAACCCUUUCUCGUACGUAAAUGACUCCCAAACUCAUUUUUUCAAAAUUCGUAGACCAAAAUAAUUUUUAAGGUGAGCCGAUCACACCUUAAUAAAGGAUCGGUGGCGACUCCAAUUUUAUUUUUAAAGUCGACAACUAAAUUUUUGUUUUUCAAAAAAUGGUUUCGACAGCUUGGCGACUCCACUGGGGACCUUAGAGAAUCGAGCCAUAAAUUGAUUAUUUUUGUCUUGUGAUCGAAAAAUCAAGUUUUGUUUUAAAAUCAUGAUUUCCCUUCGCAUUCAUUGAUUUUUUAUCACGAUAUGUUUGCAUGAUUGGACCAAACCGAUUAAUCUGUAUUUGCAUUUUGCCUUGCAUGGUCCGUUUUACCCCUUUAAGUGGGAGCGAGAAACUAGUCCUUCGUGAGGCUUUCACCUCCGUGCAGGGUAGUGGACCGCUUCCGGGAUACAUCCAUACCUAUGUCUUCGUGAGAUUUUCAUCUCCGUGCAGCCAUAGGGAAAUGUAUCCCCCUGAACUGAACUCGAUCCACAUGAGCUAUAAUGGGUGAGGAUCGAGGAAUUUGCUGGUUUGGGUACCCUUACUCUCGAAACUAAACCUCAUAUAGUGAGGUUUAGGAACUUUCCUUAGGUAGAGCUAUACCAAACCCUAAUGGAUUCCUAAAUAAAUGUUCUUGCUAUUCCAUGUUUGUAUUGGAUUAUAUCUUUUUGGUGUGAUACUGACUUGGGUUUAUUUUGUUUUGAUUGCAUGACAUCAUGAUUACAUUGCAUUUUCAUCUUAGAAAAGAGAUGUUGAUUUGAGUUCGAUUACUAGAUUAGAAAGCUUAUUAUGGAAUACGGGUUUCUUGAUAAGGUGGAAGAUAAUACGGUGGUUCGAAGAAAACAUGGCAUGAAAAGCCUAACAAGAGGAGUCUACGACUUUGCUGCAUGACCUGAGGAUCCAAAUUGUCAAAGUUUAUUCAAAAGUCAUCAAAAGUCCCAAUCUCAUAAAGAAGCCAAUGAACGUAAAUGAGUAAGGAUUUACGACCUAGAUCAAACAAAAAGGAGAUCAAAUUCGUGAGAUGUAUCUUAAUAUCUGAAGGGUCGAUAUCUUCACUUAGAGUAUGAGGGUAAAGCCGUAUAUAUAUGUCCGCUUUAUGUAAAGAGAUUUAUUUUCUAGUAAAGUUUUCUAGUAAAAAAUCGAACAUGAAUCAACGUCUCUUUUUUGCAUUCAUUCCAUGCACUUGCAUCACAUUACAUCACAUGCACUAAACACCGUUAAGGGAUCCUGAUUAACUAAAAUCAUUACUCAGUUAACCUGGAAACCAACCAACUAACCAAACACCGUUACGGCACUCGGGCAAAGAUUAAAGAUAUGAAUCAGAGAUUGGAAAAGCUCGAACAGCAUCAGAAGGAGAUGCAAGACCGACUUCAGCUACAGAUGCAGGAACGAUUAGACAAGAUGUAACAAGAUAUGUCUGAGAAGAUGCAGGAAUCCCAAGAUGAUAUGAUGGCAAAGUUAACCCAAUUGAUAACUGGGGGAAGUGAUAAAGGAAAGGGCCCCAUGGCAAAUGUCGAGGAGAGAAAUGAUGAUGAACCUCUCUAUCCUCCAGGUUUCACCCCUCCACAUGUACGAACUCAAGCUGGAUACCCACGUAAAUCUACUGUCACCAUCAUGCCUCAGCAGUCCCAGGCCGGUGCUUCAAAUUUUCAAGCUGGAUUGGUUUCUAAUCCCGGAAACCACCCUGUUAACUUUGUCAUUCCUAACUUCGAUGAAGGGGCUGAAAUGGAAGGAUUAAAGGAGGAGUUACCAAGGCAGUUAGAGGAAAGGUGCAAAUGGCUAGAGGAGAAAUUCAAGGUGAUGGAAGUCACUGAAAGCUAUCGCGGGAUUGACGCUAAAGAGCUGAGCUUAGUUCUUGAUUUGGUACUCCCUCAUAAGUUUAAGAUGCCGGAAUUCAAGAAGUACAAUGGGACGACUUGCCCAGAGGCUCAUAUCACCAUGUUCUGUAGGCGAAUGGCUGGAUACGUUAACAAUGACCAACUAUUAAUACAUUGUUUCUAAGAUAGCCUAGCAGGGGUAGCAUCUAAGUGGUACAAUCAGCUGAGCCGUACCACAAUUGGUUCAUGGAGGGACUUGGCACAAGCAUUCAUGAAACAGUAUAGUCAUGUGACAGGCAUGGCUCCUGAUAGAAUUACCCUUCAAAACAUGGAGAAAAAGCUGAGUGAAAGCUUUAGGCAUUACGCGCAAAGAUGGAGGGAAGUCGCCGUCCAAGUUCAACCACCGCUCUUAGAGAAAGAAAUGACGAUGCUUUUUAUAAAUACAUUGAAAGCCCCGUUCAUCACACAUAUGUUAGGAAGUGCCACAAAAGCUUUUCUGGCAUAGUCAUGAAUGGUGAAAUGAUUGAAAGCCCCAUAAGGAGCGGGAAAAUUGAUGCAGAGGAGAGUAACAAGAGGUCAAUCUCAAGGAAAAGAGAAGAUGAGGUGAACAACACGAGUUACUCUAAACCAGUUAUUGUGAGUCAGCCAAGAAAGGUGGCUACUAACCAACAAGGUUUAUUAAGACAAGAAUCUAGAGUGAAACCAGGUACUGAGAAGCUCCAGUUCACACCAAUUCCGACGUCAUAUAAGGAUCUGUAUCAAAGCUUAUUUGAUGCGCAUGUUGUUGCUCCUCAUUACUUAAAACCUCCACAACCUCCGUAUCCUAAGUGGUAUGAUGCGAAUGCACAAUGUGACUACCACGCGGGAAUUAAGGGGCACUCAAUAGAGAAUUACAUUACCUUCAAAAAGCUAGUUGAAAAAUUCAUCAACAUGGGUAUUGUCAAGUUGGGUGACUCAUCAAGUGCAAAAAAUCCUUUACCCAAUCAUGAUUGAGGAUGGAGGGAUUGCAAUGUAUGAAGAAGUGGUGAGAAGUUUGCACAUCGAUACCCAGACACAAUUAAAAGGAUCCUUGUUAGAUAUUUGCCUUAGAGGUGUUCUAAAUAAUGGGACUGUAGAGGAAACCCCUGAAGUAUUUAGAGUCUGUUAGAGUAAUGUUCAGAACACAAUUGUUGCUUUCAGCCUAGAAGCAAUAAGAAUUUCUUUGUGAGAUAGGCUCACGUCUAAACAUUAUUAUUUUAAUGAAAUACAUUAUUGCAAUCAUCUUUGAGCAAAUGUUCUUUCAUUCUUUACGAUUUUUUCUUUCAUUCUUUUGGAUUUUUCUGCCAAACCAUUCAUUCAUUCAUAUUAUUCAUAUAUUCUUUUGUAUAUUCUUUGGUACCCACCAUGGGUCCCCAAAUACCAAUGGCAUGAGUGACGCUGCUACAGACUCAAAAUCACCUUUUGAGUGAGACGUGUGUUUAGAGCGAUCUCAUGACUUUGAAGAUGUCAUGAAUUGUAGCUUAUCUCCUAACUUGUUGAGGAUGGUAAAGCAAUAAGAGAAACAAAUGAGACAAUAGAGACUGUGACAUUGAGAGAACAUGCAUGACCAAAAAAAAAACAAAGCAAAAGUUUAAAGAUAUCUUCAUAUAGUCAUACCAGGAUAUGCCCGGGUUAAGCAUUGUCAUUGUAAUCUGAACAGCAGUACGACGUCAAAAAUCUACAGUCAACAUCAUAAACGAUGCAGUGAAAAUUCUUUACCGGGGCAACGCAUUUCUCUUUAGUUUAUCACGGUUCUAUCCAUUUGAAGUCAAAAUUCUUUAUCUCCGGGUAUUGGCUGAGCUGAAGUUGGAUGAAGCAGAAUAGACCCAAUCUCGAUAUCACGGUCAGAUAUACUAGAAAAAAACGAUGCAAGCAUAUGACAAAAAGGUUUGUCCUAGAGAGUUUCGCGAGGGGGACCUAGUGUUGAAAAUAUUCUUCCUCUUCAGAAGGAUUUCAGAAGAAAAUGGAUGCCAAAUUUGGAAGUACUUUACGUUGUAAAAAGGGCCUUUUCUGGAGGAGCAUUAAUCUUGAGUGAGAUGGAUGGUAAAAAACCUGCAUUGUCCUAUAAACUCAGAUUCAGUCAAUAAAUACUUGCUUAAGAAGAAGAAGGAACCAAGGUGAAAACCCACAAAAGGCGCUUUGAUUUCAAAAAAAAAGGGGGCCAAGGUGAAAACCCGCAAAGGGUGCUUUGAGUCCAAAAAAAAUAAAAGUCAAAAAAGAGAAAAAGAGAAAAAAUAGAGAGGCCAAGGUGAAAACCGGCAAAGGGAACCUUGAGACCAAAGGGGAUUCGAGUUGAAAACCCGAAAAGGGCGGCUCAAAUAUUGAUCAGAAUGGGGCAUGAGGUGAUCAGAGCAGUUCAAAUCUUGAUCAGAUUGGGGCAUGUAGUGAUCUUGUUAUACCUGAAUCAACAGGAAAGGGUAGGCGAUAUCCUGAAGCAUCGACAGAGUAUUGCAGAUCUCUCAAAUACAUGUCAAACUUAGAAGGGUCUUUAGAAAGUUUAUACAAAAAAAUUCAAGCUGCGAUAUUUGGGGCACCUAAUCCUUAUACUAUUUUUUUUAUUCUUGGAACACUUCAUUCAUUUCCAAGAUACGCAUUCCUAAAUCAAUUUCUUUGUUAUCCAUCUUUAUUAUCCUUGACAAUUUAUUCAUUUUGAGCUAUGCUUAAAGCCAACUCUAUUCUUAUCCAUGAUCUUUUUGCAAGCAUGUUGCAUUAGAAUAAUAAUUAAUAGACUAAUAAAACUUUCACAAGAGAAGUUUUUCAUAUUACUCUAGAAGUUUCUAAAUAAUACGGUAACCUGAAGCAGGGCUAUUAUUUAGAAUACAUCAAGUUUAAAGGUUGAAUAUCUAAGAGGGAGAGUCUAAAUUAAGACUAUCCCUUCACAUUUUGUCGUUAAAAACAUUGACUGAAGAAAGGGAGAAGAAGGUCAUGUUGAUGACAAAGCUUAAAUAAACAAGCAAGCAAUGAUCACCAGGCAAUAGGAAGAGGUCGCCUCAGAGAAGAGAGCUUUCGUUUGCGCAUGAGCCUUUGGUACGACACCUUGGGAAUGGUGUAAGGGACCAGAAAGAUUUAAAUCCUGUAUUCUUGAAUAAUGAUAGGAGAGGAUUGAAGAAAAGCCAGUCAAGCAAGAAGGCGUUGUAGCAUGUCAGUGUUAAAGCCUUAAUAAACCUCGAGAAAUGACAACCUAAGCGGGAUUAUUCUCGAAAAAAAAUUCUGCAUUCAUUCAAAUGUUAUUCACAUAUGUCUAGUUAGAAGCAUUUGAUUCAUUUUGAUCAUGCCAUCCUAAUCAUUAGGCAUAAUUAGGUUCAUGAUACAGGUCAUGUUCUCCAAAGAAUAGAUCAGUGAAAAUAACAGAUCUUGCCUUCCUGCAUCGACAACGAAGCAGAUCAAAAUAAAGCCUUGCCUCCCUCAGUUGUAGUGGAGCAGGUUAAAGAUAGCAGAUCUUGCCUUCCUGCAUUGACAGCGAAUUAGAUCGAAGAUACCAGCCUUACCUCUCUUGGUUGCAGUGGAGUAGGUUAAUGGCAGAUUUUACCUCCCUGAGGUUACAGUGGAGUACAUUGAAGCCAGUAAUUCUAUCUCCCUGGGUAGCAGUGGAAUAGAUUGAAGAUUACAGAUCUUAUCUCCCUAAGCAGUAGUGGAGCAGAUCGAAGAUGGUGGAUUUUACCUCCCUGAGGUUACAGUGGAGUACAUUGAAGCCAGUAAUUCUAUCUCCCUAGGCAGCAGUGGAAUAUAUUGAAGAUUACAGAUCUUAUCUCCCUAAGCAGUAGUGGAGCAGAUCAAGGAUGACGGAUUUUACCUCCCUGAGGUUACAGUGGAGUACAUUGAAGCCAGUAAUUCUAUCUCCCUGAGCAACAGUGGAGUAGCAGUAGAUCUUGUCUUCAUGUACUGGCACGAAGUAGAUCAAAGAUACCAGAUCUUGUCUUCCCAUACUGGUGGCGAAGUAGAUCGAAGAAAACAUAUCUUGUCUUCAUGUACUGGCGUGAAGUAGAUCAAAGAUAACAGAUCUUGCCUUCCCAUACUGGUGGCGAAGCAGAUAGAAGAAAGCAGAUCUUGUCUUCAUGUACUGGCGUGAAGUAGAUCAAAGAUAACAGAUCUUGCCUUCCCAUACUGGUGGCGAAGCAGAUAAAAGAAAGCAGAUCUUGUCUUCAUGUACUUGCAUGAAGUAGAUCAAAGAGAACAUAUCUUGUCUUCCCAUACUGGUGGCGAAGUGGAUCGAAGAAAGCAGAUCUUGUCUUUAUGUACUGGCGUGAAGUAGAUCAAAGAGAGCAGAUCUUGUCUUCCCAUACUGGUGGCGAAGUAGAUCGAAGAUACAAGUUUUAUCUCUCUGAAGUUGCAAUGAAGUGGAUUAAAACCACAAGUCUUAUCUCCCUAAGCAGUAGUGGAGCAGAUCAAAGAUGGUGGAUUUUACCUCCCUGAGGUUACAGUGGAGUACAUUGAAACCAGUAAUUCUAUCUCCCUGGGCAACAUUGGAAUAGAUUGAAGAUUACAGAUCUUAUCUCCCUAGGCAGUAGUGGAGUAAAUCGAAGAUGGUAGAUUUUACCUCCCUGAGGUUACAGUGGAGUACAUUGAAAGCCAGUAUUCCUAUCUCCUUGAAGUUGAAAUGGAGUGGAUUAAAACCACAGAUCUUAUCUCUCUAAAGUUGCAGUAGAGCAGAUCGCAUCCGAUUUAUCUUUAAGUCAUAGCAGAACAAGUUGAAGCUAUAAGUCUUAUCUCCCUGAAGAUGCAGUGGAGCAUAUUAAAGACAGCAAAUUUUGUUCUUUUGAGAAGCUACAACAUAUGAGUUCUAUCUCUUCGUCAUUAUAGUGGAGUGGAUUGAAACGCUAGUUCUUGUACCUCUGAAGAUGCAGUAGGAAGGAACGAGGCUACUUGAAGAAGAAAAGCACCGAAGAAGUCGAGGCUCAGUAAGACCGGGCACAAUUGGGCUUUUAGUCUUUGCUCUAUUCCUGUUACACGACAAUGAGAAAAGAGGGGCAGCUGUACAAACCCAAUAAUGUCCGGGCACAAACCAAUAAACGGGCCCAAACCAUUAACAGGCCCAACAACUAAUUUUCAGACCCCAGCCCAAAAAACAUCAAAAUUUUAGAAACCCUAAUAGCCCUGCCUCAGCGCCGUAGCAGCUGGUACUGCAACUGCUCCCGCGCGUUGCGCCCAUCGAUCCCGCACAUCGCGCCCCUCGCUGCCUUCCCCGCAUGUAGUACCUGUAGCAACGAACGCAAAUAUGCCAACAAAAACAGAAUAGAUUCUUUUUGGAUUUUGUUCAUUUUUUCCAUUUUUCGGCUAUUUAAAGCCUUGAAAAAUCUGUAAAAAGGAGGGGGAUUCAGUCGAAAAUAUAUGCAAAGAAAUAGAGAGAAAAUAGAGAGAUCAAACUUGUUUUUGCAUAGGUGAUUUCUUCUUUGUUUCACUUCGCAGUGUCCGUUUAUUUAUUUAUUUAUGUUUUUAUUUUCUUUUAUUUUCUUCAUUUUAUUUCGUAUAAAAUAACAAAGAAAAAGAAAAGGAAAACAGAGCUUUUGUUGGA